UACGGAGGCAGCAGUGGGGAAUAUUGCACAAUGGGCGAAAGCCUGAUGCAGCUAUGCCGCGUGUAUGAAGAAGGCCUUAGGGUUGUAAAGUACUUUCAUCGGGGAGGAAAAACAAAACUAAUAAUUUUAUUUCUUGACGUUACCCGAAAAAGAAGCACCGGCUAACUCCGUGCCAGCAGCCGCGGUAAUACGGAGGGUGCUAGCGUUAAUCAGAAUUACUGGGCGUAAAGAGCACGUAGGUGGUUUUUUUAAGUCAGAUGUGAAAUCCCUGGGCUUAACCUAGGAACUGCAUUUUGAAACUGAAAUACUAGAGUAUCGUAGAGGGAGGUAGAAUUCUAGGUGUAGCGGUGAAAUGCGUAGAUAUCUGGAGGAAUACCUGUGGCGAAAGCGGCCUCCUAAACGAAUACUGACACUGAGGUGCGAAAGCGUGGGGAGCAAACAGGGAUUAGA
rnacentral:rRNA from 1 species